rnacentral:rRNA from 1 species
CUAUACAUGACUCUGUGCAUAUCAAUAAGCGGAGGAAAAGAAACUAACAAGGAUUCCCCUAGUAACGGCGAGUAGAAGCGGGAAGAGCUCAAAUUUGAAAUCUUAAAGGGUUUCCCUUUACGAAUUGUAGUUUAAAGAAGUGUUUUCUGUUGAGGUUUUGGUAAAAGUUCUUUGGAAUAGGACAUCAUAGAGGGUGAGAAUCCCGUAUUUGACCUUUACUUUCAACUUUGUGAUACACUUUCAAAGAGUCGGAUUGUUUGGGAAUGCAGUCCAAAGUGGGUGGUAAAUUUCAUCUAAAGCUAAAUAUUGGCGAGAGACCGAUAGCGAACAAGUACCGUGAGGGAAAGAUGAAAAGAACUUUGAAAAGAGAGUUAAACAGUACGUGAAAUUGUCAAAAGGGAAGCGUUUGACACCAGUGUUGUUUUUCUGAAAAUCAAUUAAAGAACUGUUUAUGCUAAGUUGUUUAGACUUUAUCAGGCUAACUGUUUAGUUUUGAGCUUUUCUUUAAUGCACUUUUCAGUUAACAAGUCAACAUCAAUUUCUUUUGCUGUAAAAAGGUCAUUGAGGAAGGUGGCUUGAGAUUCGUCUUAAGUGUUUAUAGCCUCUUGCCUAUGCAGUCGGAGAGAUUGAGGUCUGCAGCGUAGAUCCUUCGGGGCUAAAUGCAUUUGUGCUAAGUUAUAGCAUUUUAUAGACAACUUGUUGACUAUGAUUUGUCUUGUAGCUUACUCGCUUAUGUUAUUUUACCUACGCUUAGGAUGUUGACAGCAGUAUAGACUGU